rnacentral:rRNA from 1 species
UACGUAGGGGCCCAGCGUUGUCCGGAUUUAUUGGGCGUAAAGAGCGUGUAGGCGCCAGACAGGUCCGUUGUGAAAACUCGAGGCUCAACCUCGAGACGUCGGCGGAAACCAUCUGGCUAGAGUCCGGAAGAGGAGAGUGGAAUUCCCCAGUGUAGAGGUGAAAUUCGUAGAUAUUGGGAAGAACACCGGUGGCGAAGGCGGCUCUCUGGACCGAGACUGACGCUGAGGCGCGAAAGCGUGGGGAGCAAACAGG